UGCAAGUCGAACGGGAUCCAUCAGGCUUUGCUUGGUGGUGAGAGUGGCGAACGGGUGAGUAAUGCGUGACCGACCUGCCCCAUACACCGGAAUAGCUCCUGGAAACGGGUGGUAAUGCCGGAUGCUCCGACUCCUCGCAUGGGGUGUCGGGAAAGAUUUCAUCGGUAUGGGAUGGGGUCGCGUCCUAUCAGGUAGUCGGCGGGGUAACGGCCCACCGAGCCUACGACGGGUAGCCGGCCUGAGAGGGCGACCGGCCACAUUGGGACUGAGAUACGGCCCAGACUCCUACGGGAGGCAGCAGUGGGGAAUAUUGCACAAUGGGCGCAAGCCUGAUGCAGCGACGCCGCGUGCGGGAUGACGGCCUUCGGGUUGUAAACCGCUUUUGAUCGGGAGCAAGCCUUCGGGUGAGUGUACCUUUCGAAUAAGCACCGGCUAACUACGUGCCAGCAGCCGCGGUAAUACGUAGGGUGCAAGCGUUAUCCGGAAUUAUUGGGCGUAAAGGGCUCGUAGGCGGUUCGUCGCGUCCGGUGUGAAAGUCCAUCGCUUAACGGUGGAUCUGCGCCGGGUACGGGCGGGCUGGAGUGCGGUAGGGGAGACUGGAAUUCCCGGUGUAACGGUGGAAUGUGUAGAUAUCGGGAAGAACACCAAUGGCGAAGGCAGGUCUCUGGGCCGUUACUGACGCUGAGGAGCGAAAGCGUGGGGAGCGAACAGGAUUAGAUACCCUGGUAGUCCACGCCGUAAACGGUGGAUGCUGGAUGUGGGGCCCGUUCCACGGGUUCCGUGUCGGAGCUAACGCGUUAAGCAUCCCGCCUGGGGAGUACGGCCGCAAGGCUAAAACUCAAAGAAAUUGACGGGGGCCCGCACAAGCGGCGGAGCAUGCGGAUUAAUUCGAUGCAACGCGAAGAACCUUACCUGGGCUUGACAUGUUCCCGACAGCCGUAGAGAUAUGGCCUCCCUUCGGGGCGGGUUCACAGGUGGUGCAUGGUCGUCGUCAGCUCGUGUCGUGAGAUGUUGGGUUAAGUCCCGCAACGAGCGCAACCCUCGCCCUGUGUUGCCAGCACGUCAUGGUGGGAACUCACGGGGGACCGCCGGGGUCAACUCGGAGGAAGGUGGGGAUGACGUCAGAUCAUCAUGCCCCUUACGUCCAGGGCUUCACGCAUGCUACAAUGGCCGGUACAACGGGAUGCGACACGGCGACGUGGAGCGGAUCCCUGAAAACCGGUCUCAGUUCGGAUUGGAGUCUGCAACCCGACUCCAUGAAGGCGGAGUCGCUAGUAAUCGCGGAUCAGCAACGCCGCGGUGAAUGCGUUCCCGGGCCUUGUACACACCGCCCGUCAAGUCAUGAAAGUGGGUAGCACCCGAAGCCGGUGGCCUAACCCUUUGUGGAUGGAGCC
rnacentral:rRNA from 1 species